ensembl:lncRNA
UAUGGGGGGGGUGGGGGGCUGCAGGUGCUCCAUGCUGUGCAAUGCUGGCAUUAAACUGCUGCAGGAUGGCGCUGGUUGUUUGCAGUGUGUGCAACGAGGGGGGGUUGCAAACGGGUUUGGGGUUUGUAGGUGGAAUUUGGGGUCUGCAGGGUGUUUGCAGGGUGUUUGCAACUGGGUUUGGGUUUGCAGCUGCAUUUUGGGGUCUGCAGGGUGUUUGCAACAAGAGCUCAGGGUUUGCAAAUGGGUUUGGGUUUGCAGCUGCAUUUUGGGGUCUGCAGGGUGUUUGCAACAAGAGCUCAGGGUUUGCAAAUGGGUUUGGGUUUGCAGCUGCAUUUUGGGGUCUGCAGGGUGUUUGCAACAAGAGCUCAGGGUUUGCAAAUGGGUUUGGGUUUGCAGCUGCAUUUUGGGGUCUGCAGGGUGUUUGCAACAAGAGCUCAGGGUUUGCAAAUGGGUUUGGGGUUUGCAGCUGCUCUUGGGUUUUGCACCGUGUUUGCAGUGCAUGUUUGGGAUUUGCACCUGGGUUUGGGGGUUGCAAGUGUUCUUGGGGUCUGCAGAGUGUUUGCAAUGUUUGCAACUGGGUUUGGGGUUUGCAGCUGCAUUUUGGGGUCUGCAGGGUGUUUGCAACCUGAGCUCAGGGUUUGCAAAUGGGUUUGGGUUUGCAGCUGCAUUUUGGGGUCUGCAGGGUGUUUGCAACCUGAGCUCUGGGCUUGCAAUUGGUUUUGGGGUUUGCAGCUGCUCUUGGGUCUUGCACAGUGUUUGCAGUGCAUGCUUGGGAUUUGCACCUGGGUUUGGGGGUUGCAAGUGUUCUUGGGGUCUGCAGAGUGUUUGCAAUGUUUGCAACUGGGUUUGGGGUUUGCAGGUGCUCUUGGGUCUUGUACAGUGUUUGCAAUGCAUGCUUGGGAUUUGCACCUGGGUUUGGGGUUUGCAGCUGCAUUUUGGGAUCUACAGGGUGUUUGCAGGAUGUUUGCAACUGGGUUUGGGGUUUGCAGCUGUGUUUGGGGUCUGCAGGGUGUUUUGCAAUGUUUGCAAAUGGGUUUGGGGUUUGCAGCUGCAUUUGGGGGUCUGCACAGUGUUUGCAGUGCAUGCUUGGGAUUUGCAGCUGGGCUUGGGGUUUGCAGCUGCGUUUGGGGUCUGCAGGGUGUUUGUAGGAUUUGCACCUGGGUUUGGGGUUUGCAGCUGCAUUUUGGGAUCUGCAGGGUGUUUGCAGGGUGUUUGCAACUGGGUUUGGGUUUGCAGCUGCAUUUUGGGGUCUGCAGGGUGUUUGCAACAAGAGCUCAGGGUUUGCAAAUGGGUUUGGGGUUUGCAGCUGCUCUUGGGUUUUGCACCGUGUUUGCAGUGCAUGUUUGGGAUUUGCACCUGGGUUUGGGGGUUGCAAGUGUUCUUGGGGUCUGCAGAGUGUUUGCAAUGUUUGCAACUGGGUUUGGGGUUUGCAGCUGCAUUUUGGGGUCUGCAGGGUGUUUGCAACCUGAGCUCAGGGUUUGCAAAUGGGUUUGGGUUUGCAGCUGCAUUUUGGGGUCUGCAGGGUGUUUGCAACCUGAGCUCUGGGCUUGCAAUUGGUUUUGGGGUUUGCAGCUGCUCUUGGGUCUUGCACAGUGUUUGCAAUGCAUGCGUGGGAUUUGCAGCUGGCUUUGGGGUUUGCAGCUGCAUUUUUGGGUCUGCAGGGUGUUUGCAGGAUGUUUGCAACUGGGUUUGGGGUUUGCGGCUGCAUUUUGUGUUUUGCACAGUGUUUGCAGUGCAUGCUUGGGAUUUGCAGCUGCGUUUGGGGUCUGCAGGGUGUUUGCAGGGUUUGCACAUGGCUUUGGAGUUUGCAGCUGCACUUGGAGCCUGCAGAGUGUUUGCAAGGCGCGCUCGGGCCGUGCACGUGCAUUUGCAGUUUGCAUUUACCCCGUGCGUCCUGCAGCACGUUUGCAACGUGCUCCGUGUGCACACACGUCUGUGUGUGUGUGUGUGUGUGUGUUUGUGUGUUUGCGUGCAGAGCUUGCACGUGGCUUUGCCGUUUGCACGCCCACCCGGGCCCUGCACGUGCACGCCGCCUUUGCACCGCGUGCUCCGGCUUUGCACGUGGCUUCGGCUCUUGCACGUGUGCUGGGCGGGCGUUGCAAAACCCUUUCGCUCGGGGCGUGCGGUUUGCAGCUGCCCACGGGUUUUGCUGCGUGCAAAGGGGUCGCACGGCUUUGCACGGCGUUGCACGGCGUUGCACGGAGUUGCACGGAUUUGCACGGCGUUGCACGGCCGUUCGUUCCCGUUGCAAAGCCUCCCUUCUAUUUGUGGAGCUGCGGAGGCGCCGCGCCGCCUCCUGUGGGCGCUGAUGGAUUGCGGAGCGAUUUGCAAACGGCUCCCAGCUG